rnacentral:rRNA from 1 species
CCUACGGGUGGCAGCAGUGGGGAAUAUUGCACAAUGGGGGAAACCCUGAUGCAGCGACGCCGCGUGAGCGAGGAAGUAUUUCGGUAUGUAACGCUCUAUCAGCAGGGACGAAAAAAGACGGUACCUGACUAAGAAGCCCCGGCUAACUACGUGCCAGCAGCCGCGGUAAUACGUAGGGGGCAAGCGUUAACCGGCUUUACUGGGUGUAAAGGGAGCAUAGACGGCAAGGCAAGCCAGAAGUGAAAGGGCAGGGCUGAAACCUGUACAUGCUGUUGGAACUGUGGGGCUAGAGUGCAGGAGAGGUAAGCGGAAUUCCUAGUGUAGCGGUGAAAUGCGUAGAUAUUAGGAGGAACCCCGGUGGCGAAGGCAGCUUACUGGAGUGUAACUGACGUUGAGGCUCGAAAGUGUGGGGAGCAAACAGGAUUAGAUACCCGAGUAGUC